rnacentral:lncRNA from 1 species
CGCAAUUUUGUGAAUUAUUAUAAAGUAUUUUACGUUUCAUGUGAGUGUCGUAUAUUGCGCAGUUUGGACGCUUCUAAACUGUCUAACUCCCUAACUAUUUUGCGCACGCGACGGACCAUAUUAUCCGCAUGCAACCGCCCUGAAAAGGAAUAUCCCCGAAGAUAUUGAGCCGGAAUAACCGCCAUAAGAGGGGACCUAGUCACUGGUAGCGGACUGUUUUUUCAUGAAGUAAGACCGGCUACCAGGAAAAUACAUGCUUUACCUUACUACGGGAGAGAAAAUGUUUAAAAAAACUUUGCCACCAUAAUUGUCUUAUUCUCGCCGAUCCAAACGACCAACAUGAUUUCCACCAAGUCUUCUUACGGGUACCAUUUGCACCCUCUAAGCUAUGGGUACCAUUUGUACCCCCUAACCCCAAGACAAACGAUGCCAGUUUUUUGAAAAAAAAAGGUUUAGGCCCCGUUUACAUGAGACCGGGACGAAAAUUGAAAUUGUCAAUAUCUUUACAUGAGACCGGUACGAAAAUCACAAAAUUUUCAACUUAUUCCCCUUGCCAGGGCAAUUUUCUUUUUCAGAUGGCUUUUGUUAGCAUGUGUUGUUCCAAUGUCAAGGUUACAGCCGAGACCGGUCUGAAAUGUAUUUCUGUUUACAUUCAUCCCCGUCUGAAUUCAUGCUGGUCUGAAGUCAGUCGGUUCGGUUCAGCAGGCGGAAUGACUUGAGACCGGUCUGAGUUAUUUUCGUCCCGGUCUCAUGUAAACAUCUAUUAUAAAUAAUACUGUGACCGAAACGAACUGGUCCCGGUUUGACUUCGUCCCGGUCUCAUGUAAACAGGGCCUUAGAUGAGGAAAGUGACAAAUUUCUUUUUCACUAACAAAGCGACAAGAUAUUACAAAGAAUCAAACAGCAAUUUCCAAUCGUCGUUCUAUUUCGAAAGACAAAACUCUGGCAAAGCUUUUCUUGUACACAUCCUGCCUCAUGACCCUGUCUAAACUGUUGCGUUGCUGCACUUGUUAUGCGUGUGCACAAAGGCAGUAUAUAUAGAAUAUAUAUACAGGGUUCUCCAUAGUUGUGAGUGGGACAGGUAAAACAGGUUUUUCAACAGGUAUAAACAUCAAGUCGC